AGAGUUUGAUUAUGGCUCAGGAUGAACGCUGGCGGCGUGCUUAACACAUGCAAGUCGAACGAAGCUCCCGGAUCUGAUGAUUCGUCUGAAGUGAAGGGAAGACUUAGUGGCGGACGGGUGAGUAACGCGUGGGUAACCUGCCGUAUACAGGGGGAUAACAGUUAGAAAUGACUGCUAAUACCGCAUAAGCGCACAGUGAGGCAUCUCACAGUGUGAAAAACUCCGGUGGUAUACGAUGGACCCGCGUCUGAUUAGCCAGUUGGCAGGGUAACGGCCUACCAAAGCGACGAUCAGUAGCCGGCCUGAGAGGGUGAACGGCCACAUUGGGACUGAGACACGGCCCAAACUCCUACGGGAGGCAGCAGUGGGGAAUAUUGCACAAUGGGGGAAACCCUGAUGCAAGCGACGCCGCGUGAGUGAAGAAGCAUUUCGGUGCGUAAAGCUCUAUCAGCAGGGAAGAAAAUGACGGUACCUGACUAAGAAGCCCCGGCUAACUACGUGCCAGCCGCCGC
rnacentral:rRNA from 1 species